rnacentral:rRNA from 1 species
GACGAACGCUGGCGGCGUGCUUAACACAUGCAAGUCGAACGGAAAGGCCCUGCUUUUGUGGGGUUCUCGAUUGGCGAACGGGUGAGUAACACGUGAGUAACCUGCCCUUGACUUUGUGAUAACUUCAGGAAACUGGGGCGAAUACCGGAUAUGAGCUCCUGCUGCAUGGUGGUGGUUGGAAAGUUUCGGCGGUUGGGGAUGGACUCGCGGCUUAUCAGCUUGUUGGUGGGGUAGUGGCUUACCAAGGCUUUGACGGGUAGCCGGCCUGGGAGGGUGACCGGCCACAUUGGGACUGAGAUACGGCACAGACUCCUACGGGAGGCAGCAGUGGGGAAUAUUGCACAAUGGGCGGAAGCCUGAUGAAGCAACGCCGCGUGCGGGAUGACGGCCUUCGGGUUGUAAACCGCUUUCGCCUGUGACGAAGCGUGAGUGACGGUAAUGGGUAAAGAAGCACCGGCUAACUACGUG